UUUAUAAAGAUGUGACACAAACAGAAAAAAUAUGCAGAUUGCAAACUCAUAUAUCAGAGUAACUGAGUAAGGUUCGAUGAAUACUAAAAAUAUCAAAACAGAAUGCAGCUCACAUAGGACUCGCCAAAUACGCAUUGUAGACUUGUAGUCGACAUUUUAGAUCAUCUUUAUUGUAUUACUUUUUAAAAAAAAGGUGGAGUGAACUGAAUUUCUUUCAAACUCUAUUUUAUUUUGGAGUUAAAAAUAUAAUGAGUAAAAUAUAAAUACAUUACUUUAUUUUUUAUAAUCUCAUUUUUACUUUAUUAUGAAAUAAAAAAUAAAGCAAAGGUGAAGACAAUUUUACUCAAAUUUAUUUUAAAAUGAAAAAUAAAAUAGGAUUAAAGAUGAUCUCAUGACUAACUUAUGUAAUCAUACUAAAACGUUGGAUGUUUUCAUAUCAUUAUUGGGUAGUUGUUUAUAGUGAGAGAAAACAAAUGUACAGCAUCAUAUGCAAAAUUUUGUUUGGUUAUAAAUUCAAAAUUUCACAAAGACUUAAAUCACUAUAAUAAUAAUUUUGUUUUUUUUUUGUUAAAAUGAUUGUGCUUGAAUUUCGAAGCAAAAUUAUAUUUCUCAAUGGUAAUGAGUUGGGGGAAAGACUUUAUAUUCUCUAGGAUUUGGUAUGGUUAAUUAGAGGAACUUUUGACUUUAAUGCAUAAAACAUGCCACCGGCUUCUGUAUAGUUUGGUAUGCAGCAUUUAAUGCAUGGAUAUUGCUUUUAUGUUUCACCUAAAUGUAAUUCCCGGUUCACAAAUACCUCGUGGGUUACAUCUUGCCGGUCCCAUUUCAUAAGAGAGAUCAAUUUAAAAGAUAGAAUUGAACAUCCUAUUGAUUCCUAAAUCGAUAUAUUUUCUCUGUUUUAACUUUUAACCCUUUAUAUAAUCAAUCAACUUCUAGCUUAGUGACAAGUUUCAAGGUUUUGCAUUAAGAGGCCUAUUUUUUUUGUUUGUAGCCUCGUAGGUUUUCAAUUGUUUUUGCCGUUAGUAUGCUACAACAAUGAAAUUAUAAAGUAAUCAAAGUUUCAAAAAAAAAACAAUGAAAUUAAAGUUUGUAAAAUCUACCAAUAGAAGACUCUGAAGAUCGUUAUCAAAUUAUUUAUGUUAUUUAUUUAUUUUGUUACAUGCACACACAAUCAUCGUCUUUUGUAAUCGUUGUAAUUAGCAUCGCUUUAAUUAAAUCACAUCGCGAUAUAUGUAAAAAAACUUGAAAAAUAUUUUGACUAUUUAUAUCAUUAAGGUACACUUAUUUUAGAAUAAAAAUGUGAUCGUCCAGGGGACAUAGAACAAAGGAGGGAGACUAAGUUCAGUUCUGAGCUUUAUUAAAAUGUGAUCCAAGGUCUUAUUGGUGUUUAACGAGCUUACAAAGGAAGCUGUAUGAUAUAAAUAUUCUUUUAAGAUUGGGAUUAGAAUUCUCCAGAAGGCAAAAACACUUGCUGAAGAUUUGGAUAAUCACCACGUUCCAAUGGCAGAGACGGGAAAUAAUUUUGUUGAGAACAUGAAUACUAACCUACACUAUUUAGAAUGGGUGCAUAUAGUUUAAGUUUUAAUAAAUUAUAUUAAAUUUUCAAAUGUUGUUCGGUUGAGUGUGUGGCUCCGCCACGUCCGUAUGCAUGGGUUAGUGGUUAAGCGUAGAGGUCGGUUAUGUGGUGACAUUGGGGAGAGAUCUAAAGAAAGAAGCAACCCCUCGUUUUGCAAUUUGUCAAAAGAUAGAACCUGACCAGGUCAAUAGUGGAGAUUCCAAAUUCUAAAAAAAAAACCGAAAUCCAUCUUCUAAACGACCAAAUAAACAAACAUAUAGAUCUUUAUUCAAAGAAAACUCUGUACAUAAAAUAAUUUUACCCACAACGUUUUACAUAUCCUUGCAUAUAUUUUGUGGCUUUUAUGAUAGCUAUAUGGCUGACUUUUGUAAUAAACAAAAAUAUGUCCGUCGUACUUUCUAUGUGUAUUUUUAAAACACACAUUAAAGAAAUUUACGAAACACCUGCUUUGUAUUGGUUAUCAAAAAGAUUUUGUCUGUUGUAAUUCACUCUGUAUAUUUCAAAGAUGAAACAUCAAAAAUGUAUGACAUAAAAAUGUAAUACUCCUUUUUCUUAUUCUCUCAGUUCCCAAAUUUUUUUUUUCUAGAAUAAUCACGCAUAUUAAAAAUAUAAUAAAUAUUUACAAUUAAAUUUAAUUUACUAUACAUUUUCCAGUAAAUAUCAACUAAUAGUAUUUAACCAAUUUAAAUAUUUUCAAUUAAUAUUUUUUUAAAGUAUACAACUUUUCAAUAUUAAUUAUUAAAAGUAUCUUAUUUUUUUUAGAAAAUCUAUCAUUUUGUAACAAAAAAUAAAUCUAUAAAAUCCUAUUUUUGGGAACGCAAAAAGUAUAAUUUAUGAUAUUUUUUUUAAAAUGGCAUAGAUGUAUGCGACACUUAAUAUAAUUUUACUGCAUAACUUAUCUAGAAUGUCGCUCGAAAAGUUAAACGAUUCAAUUUAAAAUUUAUAUGAUUCAUAUACCUAAUUCAAAUUUUGGGAUUUUCUCAAACUAUCAGAAUCUGAAACUUUUGUUUACUAUUCUCUGGAUAUCUAUGCUCAACUAUUAUUCCUAUAUUAUAACCACGAUGACAACAUAGUAUAUUUCAUAUAUGUCACUUCUUAUCCAUAUAUUUUGUAUAUGCAUUUUAUCCAAAUAUGACAAAGUCAGUAGUUUCGAGGUAUGUUAUUAUUUAUUUCUAGAGGCAUUCAAUCCGGAAAAAUUGUUUCGAAGCAAAAUUAAACAACCGAAAUAAUCAAUCUAGAAAGCAAAUUAUAUUUGAUUAUGUGUAUAAUAGAUAUAUCUAUGUUUUCUAUCUGAAAACUGGAUUUGUAUUCCAACCGAGUCUAAGAAAAUGAUUUAAAACCUAAAAAGGUUAUAACCUAAUUUGAUUUAAAACAAAUCCAAAUAGAAAACAAAAUUGUUUGAGCCGUCCAUAUUAAAUUAAUUAAAAGUUUAAAACCAAGAAUAUAUAUUUAAGAAAAUUUACAUUAAAUAUUUUUAUUCAUAACUUGGAAAUUUGUUGUCAAAUAAUAAUAAUAAUUAAUCGGAAAUUCGAAACAUAAGGUUUCCAAAAUGACAAAUUAUAUGUUAUAUAUGUAUGUGACCAUUUGGCACGAAAGAGUUUGCAUUCAUUCAUCUGUCGGAUUGUCUAGUCAUCUGCUCGAGUUAUUGGUCCGUUAGUUUUCUAUAGUAAGGUUGUAGUUAUAAUAUAAUGUGAAGACAUGGAAAAAAAGGAAAAUAAAACUUUUGGCUGUGUCAAAAUAUUUUCUUAAUGGUUAAUUAUACUAGUUGGCAUAUAUCUUCAGUGGUUGUCGCCUCGUCGGUAGGUAUCUGGUGUUAAAGACAGUAAAAGAGAAGCUUCUAAAAAUUCAUACGUAUAAAUAUAUAAACAUAUAAUGCAUGAUACCGAUUAUUUAUACAUGAAUUGAUAUUGACGUGAAAACAAAAAUAAUUGAUGUUGACGUAUAUGAAGAGAGAUUGCCACGAUGAUGGUAGAAGCCGACAUAAAGCUAAAGUCCACAACUUUUUAUUUUUCUUUUUAAAGAUACUAACAAUAAGACCAUAAUUUAAGAUUUCAUCAUUUAUUAUUUGUUUAUUUUUCUUCACACGUAGCUGUGAUUAUUUUUAUGAGAUGGUAAACAAUGACGAAACACAGAGCGACUUUCAAUUUGAAAUGCAGUCUUAAUUAAUUUUAAGAAAGAAAAGCCAUACAACUUUUUCAAAAAAUAUUUUGUUUUAAAAAUAUAAAUCAAAUAGUUUUGCUAAAUUUUUUAUUAUUAUAACAAUUAUAUAUAUGGAAAAUAACCAAUUGAAACAUAAUUCAAAUACCUUUACUUUUAGCUUAAUUUUUUAAUUUGUCAAAAAUUACUAAUCUAAUGUGUUUGGCCAUUUGAAUAUUUUAUUAUGUAAAGUAUAUAUUUUACAAAUAUUUUAGGUAUUUUUUAAAAGUUAUGGGCUGAAAAAGAUGUCAUCCUAGUGUUUUUUUUUUGAAUAAAACAUCCCAGUGUUCUAUUAUCAAACAACUUAUGCCACUAAAGUAAAGUAACUUUUGGAAAAGAAAGCUGAAAUAAUUAUGUACUCAAUCCGUUCCCGAAAAUAAAAUUUUUUAGAUUUUUUCUUGUUCCACAAAGAUAAAUUUUCUAUAUUGUUAAGAUAUUUUUUUAUAUUUUUGAGAAACAUUAAUUGAGAAUAUUUGAAUUAAUUAAAUGUCAUUGGUAGAAAGUUAUUAGAAAGUGUAUGAUAAAUAAAAAAUAAAUUAAAUUAUAAAUAUAAAUAUUUAUUAAUUUUUUAAUAAACACCUAUACUCUAGAAAAUUUUACUUUCAUGAAAGGGAUAAAGUAUAUUUUAAGGCUGGAAACCCAUGUUUCUGUAGCUUCUUCUCAGGGUGGACCUGAUUAUAAGGCAACGAAAUUCGACUCAACAUAAACCCUAAUGUAUUAAUCUACUCGAUGUGGAGCUGAAAUGCUUUUCAGUUUUCCGUUGAAAAUAAAGAACAUGUUUCUUGGGAGAGAAGAAACCUAUGAUCUUGUUGGUUACAUCUUCAUCAUACACUCUUGAAAAGCUAAAAGAGUUUCACGUUUGUUUGUUUAUUUAUUUGUGAUUGAGUAGUACUGAAUUAGGAUCUUUUUUUUACUGAAUUAGGAUCUUUAUUGGAAUAUUUAGAAUAUACGGCAUAUAAAUAUUUUCUUCGAUCGUGCGGUGCUUGAAUGAUUAAAUAAAGUUGGUAGCCAUAACUCUAAAGUUGUGAUUGAUAUUUAUGAAACUUUUUCUCUAAAGAAGUCCAUGACUUUAAGAUAUUGACGAUGAAAUCCAUACGGUUUACGGAAUCCAUACGGUUUACGGAAUCUUCAGUUAAUUGAGACAAUUAUUCCCCUAAAAUUGUGAUUUGAGAAAAUGGUUAACAUGUUGACCAGUCUUUUGAUAAAAUAAGUUUUUGAUCUCCAUGUACUUGAAAUUUUCUUUUCUUUCUUUUUAUUUUAGAAAAUUUCUUCAAAAAUAUGCAUUAUGCAUAUGUGAAUCUAAAUAAUAACACAAAACAAUAGUACUAUAUUCUAUUAUGCUACAUAAGUACAAAUAUCAUAUACAUUAUGUGGUAAAAGUGAAAUGCAGAAGAAUGUAUAGAUAUUCUUAUACUACAGUUGUUAUAUCUUUAAUGAAAUCUGCGUAUGGAUACUAACGUCUUAUUUGCAAAUGAGAACUUGCUACCCAUAACUACAUAAUGAAUCUAUGGCUAUUAAUGAAUUUUGUAAGAUUAAUGAUUGUGCUACUUUUCUAAUCUCUCAAUUAUCAAAUCUUGUUUUACCAUUUAUAAUUUAGUGGAACUGUGGAAACUUGUCUUCGUAUGUAUGGAAUAUCAUCAGUAUCGGAGUCUUCAGACAUUUCCAAAUGAUAUUUCUGCACAUCGCAUUCGAAUACUGGACACCAUUUUUGUUAGCACAUCACAUUUGCUCUUUUGUUUUUCAUCUCCCUUUUCACACAAUCAUAAUUCAUAUAUCUUUAGUCAUGUCUUAUUUUCUAGGGAAAUUGCGCUCUUUCUUUUUCCAUUUUUUUUUCAAGCUAAUGGUUUUAUCUAUAUUUUUAUAUGUUUUAAUUAUUUUGAAUAAAUCCAAAACUAUUAACAGAUAAUCAAAUACUUUGGCCAAAUCUAACUGCCUCAGAAAUAGACGAGAAAUAAAGAGCAUACAAAUGGGAAGCAAACCGAGAAGCCCAACUGGCUAGUGUCCAACACAUGGCAAUCUACGUACAACUGUCACCGGUCCCUAGCAUCUACCUCUAACCAACUUCUUGAGUACUAUUAUCUAUAUAUACAUACAUACAAAUAAGUCACAUAACAAAACCAUCACCCACAUCCCCAUAAUAUUAUCAUCACGUCUUUAUGAAACUAACAAACAUUAUUUUAGUCAUAGUACGUAUACAUGACAACAUAGCAGCUAUUGGAUUGGAUCAACAAAAACGGCUGUAAUGAUACGAGAUAUUUCAUGUACCAAUGAUCGGAUAAUUUUGAAUAUUUUAUGUAUGAAGAAUUUUAUGGUGUUUGAUAUAUAUUCUCCUGUGCCAAGAAUCUCAUAAGCCAAUGGUUAGACACCCUGCUCCUUCAUUUGACAUCACAUUUCAAUCCCUCUCCCUAGCGUCACGCCUUAGAAAGAUAUUUAUGAGAAAAUGUCACUUUCUAAAUUUCCUAUAGGAUUAGGUAAUUUUGGAAUGUGGUAUAUCAACACUUGUUCAUCAAACUUUGACCAUACAAACCUAACACCUAACAUAUAUAUUGGUUAUUUUGGUCGAUUUUAACUAAACACUUACAUUUAGUACACAACUAAGCUAGUACUUUUGUUUAUCAAUAUCUUACAAGUUACAAACAAGUCAUGAUUCAUGAACCAAGUUUAUAUAUAGGUGGUAGGUUAUUAUGGAAAAGUUUCGAUAGACCAUAUAUAUUGAAAACAUUUUAUAGACAAAUACCAAAAAGUGGUAAGAGUCUAAUAGUUUUUUAAUUUCUUUUUAUAAAAAACCAUAUAUUAGGCUUUUAAAAAAACCUAUCUUAAGCUUAAAAAAUUAUUGAUCGGCAAGUUUAUUUCUGUUUUUAAAGGGUUGAAUGAGGUUUAAGAGUAAGGUCAAGUAUAAUUACGAUGCUUCUUACUAUUUAGAUAAUGCAGUUUCAAGGUAUGGGAGAAUUAGUAUUUAGUAACUCGUAAGAUAUGGUACUGGUAUAGUUUUGGAGUGUGGAGUGGAGAAAUUCUAUAAUCGUGCAUAAAUAAGCUGAACUAACUACGCUCAUAUGGUCAAUGAAAGUGUGCUGUCCAUGGGAUAUAAGAAUGUUACCAGGCCCAAUUAUAAACUUAGUAGUUUUUUUUUUUGGUCAAAAAUAUAAACUUAGUAGUAUAUAACUCAAUUAGUGACUAGCUAUUGUUGUCAUCUUCCUCUAUACACAAUUACAUAAUUCAGAGAGGUCGCAACAAUGGCUUCGGUCAUUCCCAAAUUGAAAUCUCAACAGCUACCUCUGUGCUUAACGAGCGAGUUACAUCCUCUUCUCUCUCGCCGAUAUAUACGCAAACUCAGUUCAAUGACCGAUUUGCAUCGUCGAGAUGUUUCUGUGCUAGUUCUCGUUGGUGAUGCUCAAUACUAUCUUCUUCCUUUGUUAAAAAACCUUUGAAGUUGGUUCAUUGUAAUGCCAUUGAUCUAUAACAUUUUGCACAGUUGUUACAUAAAACAUUUGUUAAAAUGAUAAUGUUAUGCAUUUCUAGACUAGUUACCAGUGUUUAGGUCCCUGUUAAUUAAGAAUGCUGAAUUUUUAUUUGAUCGAUCAGUGCGUAAUAAUGGCCUGAUAAUUGUAGCUAUUGCUACAUAUAUAGUUAGAACUUAGAAGCAACGUAGCAUUCUGAUGAAGACUUAAAACCACCUUACCCAUCGUUGCACCAAACUUUUGUGUUUCUUGCAGUUUCCCUCUCAACACAAUGGCCUCACAUUCAAUCAUUUGGUCUCUUUUCUUAGUUUCUUAUCUCAUCUCUCCCUUUAGUGUCAAUGCACAAGGACCUGCUGCUUCACCGGCAACCUCCACCACCACUGCUCCGCCUCCAACCGGCCUUGUUCACCCUGUUUCAGCUACUCCGCCUCCAGCAUCUCUGAGUACACCUCCACUAGCUCGGGAAAUGGAGUUUGCUGACAUCCCCAAGAAAAGAUACAAACAUGGUAAGAAGACAGAUCGGGAUCGAAGCUAUUCCCUUUCAUAUUGAUGACUUUGAAUCAAGACAGGUAUAUAUAUAUAGGUGCUGAGUCUCAGCUUGCAGAGGAAGGAAAAUAAGAAAGAAGUAGCAGAAGCCAAAGAGAAACAAAGAUUAAGGAAGAGAUGAAUACCCAGAGCCAGACAACAACUGAUGUUUCGACAACAUCUUGCAAAAAGCAUGUGAAUGAUGAUAAUACCACUUUCCUUGCUAACUUCAAGGAUCGUUUCAGUGCAUUCGUCAAUACCCCAAUGGAUGAACACAAGACUUGUUUCAAAAACACCAUGAACAAGGUUUGUUCCCAGUUUUCUGUAUCUUCUUGGAUGUCGAAGGAUGAUGCGGUUGAUGACGUGAAGAAAGUGGAGAGUCACUCGCCUCUUUAGCGCAGCAGAUUUUUGCCAGUUUCAACUGAAAACUUAAAUUUUCUGCUUAAUAAAAUCCACUGUUUUUCUCUUUAUGUGUUCUUAAUAAAAUAGAGUGUUUUUUCUUUGAAGUUUUUCUUUUAAUUUUCUUGCUUUGGAUUUUAGAAGUUCAACAAGCUCCCUUGCAUAAAUGUGCAAAACUACUCUUCAAGUC